UGGGGAAUUUUGGACAAUGGGGGAAACCCUGAUCCAGCCAUCCCGCGUGUGCGAUGAAGGCCUUCGGGUUGUAAAGCACUUUUGGCAGGAAAGAAACGUCAUGGGUUAAUACCCCGUGAAACUGACGGUACCUGCAGAAUAAGCACCGGCUAACUACGUGCCAGCAGCCGCGGUAAUACGUAGGGUGCAAGCGUUAAUCGGAAUUACUGGGCGUAAAGCGUGCGCAGGCGGUUCGGAAAGAAAGAUGUGAAAUCCCAGAGCUCAACUUUGGAACUGCAUUUUUAACUACCGGGCUAGGGUGUGUCAGAGGGGAGUGGAAUUCCGCGUGUAGCAGUGAAAUGCGUAGAUAUGCGGAGGAACACCGAUGGCGAAGGCAGCCUCCUGGGAUAACACUGACGCUCAUGCACGAAAGCGUGGGGAGCAAACAGG
rnacentral:rRNA from 1 species